rnacentral:rRNA from 1 species
UACGAAGGGGGCUAGCGUUGUUCGGAAUUACUGGGCGUAAAGCGCGCGCAGGCGGUUCUUCAAGUCAGUGGUGAAAGCCCGGAGCUCAACUCCGGAAUUGCCAUUGAAACUGUGGAACUUGAGGAUGAGAGAGGUGAGUGGAAUUCCCAGUGUAGAGGUGAAAUUCGUAGAUAUUGGGAAGAACACCGGUGGCGAAGGCGGCUCACUGGCUCAUUUCUGACGCUCAGGCGCGACAGCGUGGGGAGCAAACAGG